UCGGGAAUUUUGGGCAAUGGGCGCAAGCCUGAUCCAGCCAUGCCGCGUGAGUGACGAAGGCCUUAGGGUUGUAAAGCUCUUUUGGCGGGGACGAUAAUGACGGUACCCGCAGAAUAAGCCCCGGCUAACUUCGUGCCAGCAGCCGCGGUAAUACGAAGGGUGCUAGCGUUGUUCGGAAUCACUGGGCGUAAAGCGCGCGUAGGCGGCGAUAUAAGUCAGAGGUGAAAGCCUGGAGCUCAACUCCAGAACUGCCUUUGAAACUAUAUUGCUAGAGUGUCGGAGGGGAUAGCGGAAUUGCUAAUGUAGAGGUGAAAUUCGUAGAUAUUAGCAGGAACACCGGUGGCGAAGGCGGCUAUCUGGACGACAACUGACGCUGAGGCGCGAAAGCGUGGGGAUCAAACAGGAUUAGAUACCCUCGUAGUCCCUGAGCGGGCUGGCAAGGCGCAU
rnacentral:rRNA from 1 species